rnacentral:rRNA from 1 species
AACGAACGCUGGCGGCAUGCCUAACACAUGCAAGUCGAACGAGACCUUCGGGUCUAGUGGCGCACGGGUGCGUAACGCGUGGGAAUCUGCCCUUGGGUUCGGAAUAACAGUUGGAAACGACUGCUAAUACCGGAUGAUGACGUAAGUCCAAGGAUUUAUCGCCCAAGGAUGAGCCCGCGUAGGAUUAGCUAGUUGGUGAGGUAAAGGCUCACCAAGGCGACGAUCCUUAGCUGGUCUGAGAGGAUGAUCAGCCACACUGGGACUGAGACACGGCCCAGACUCCUACGGGAGGCAGCAGUGGGGAAUAUUGGACAAUGGGCGAAAGCCUGAUCCAGCAAUGCCGCGUGAGUGAUGAAGGCCUUAGGGUUGUAAAGCUCUUUUACCCGGGAUGAUAAUGACAGUACCGGGAGAAUAAGCUCCGGCUAACUCCGUG